AUGCAGGGAUGGUCUGAGAAGCUCUUGGCUUGCGCAGGACGUGAAACACUACUCAAGUCAGUGGUACAGGCAAUUCCUACGUACUCGAUGAGUACCUUUUUGCUCACCAAGAAAGUGUGUAAGAGUUUGACUUAUCCCAUGGCCAAGUUUUUCUGGAGUAGUUCUCUUGACAAGAAUGCUAUGCACUGGGUGUCAUGGAAAAAUCUUGCUACACCAAAGUGUAAAGGAGGUAUGGGUUUCGAACCUCAUCAGUUUAAUCUAGCACUAUUAGGGAAACACGGAUGGAGGUUCUUAACGAACCCAGAUUCCCUAUGUGCGAGAGUUUUGAAAGGACGUUACUUC
rnacentral:rRNA from 1 species